GCAAAAUGGCAGAGUAUGAUAAAUCAUGUACAGGACAUACAUGAACACAGCACUCCUGCAUUUACCAGCUGCGCACAUCCACCGUUGGAAGGAGAGGCAAGAAACAAGGAGUGGCUGGAACCAGGAUCACCAGCAGCCACUAAACUGGAGAGUGUAGCUGCCAGGAAAGCACUGGUAAAGGAUAUUCGACAAUUGUCACCUCAGCAUCAGACAUUCUCCCUGGAGGCCUACCAUUCCCUCAUUCUGCACUUUGCUCCCAAACACACUGGCUUUUCUUUUCUUGGGAUGUACAGCAGACUUCUCUUGGCAGCCCUUCAUUUCAAUAGU